CUUUCACUGAUGGAGCAGCAGAAGUUCCAGCUGGACAGUUGGUGAAACAGAGCUGUUUGACUUCAGCAGACAGAAACACAGACACAAGUUUCUAAACCAGAAGUUUGUCUCCAGUCGGUCUCUGAGGUUUCCAGCAGAGUGACAUCAUGGAGGACUCAUCAUCAUCUAAGACCAAGCCAGAUGAGCAACCUGAGAGGACCAGCAGCAGCGACACAGGUCGCACUGGGAGG